rnacentral:lncRNA from 1 species
CCCGAGACGGUAGAAUGUAAACUCUAGGGUGAAGAAGAAAGCAUUGCCCGGCUUAGAUGAGCCUUUCGAUUAUGAUUUGUUAGCACAACUAGCUAAUGUACCAGCUAGAAUUACCUUGUUGAGGUUGUCACCUGACAUCCGACAAGUGUCAAGGCUCUAUCAGAAGCCGAUAAGUAUGCACCCCAUGUACACCAGAUAGAGGUGAAUGAUGUACCUCAAGAAGAGAACCGAGGCAUACAAGAGAAGAUGAAGGCGGAGGAGCCAGACCUCACAUUUUCUCGAGAAGACUUUUUUGUUGCUAGGGGACCUUCAC